GCCUCUAUAUAUAAGAUGUGGAUGAGAGAAGUUGGCAUAGAAACAAAACAACGAAAGUGAAAGAAAAAGAGAAAUGAGAGCCUCAAUGAGCUGGUGUGCCACUACGAGUUUCUUACUAGUCAUGCUUUCUUUAAAUCUGCUUUCAGGGGCCUUUGCAAGACACCACAAAUUGCCCCCACCACCACACACGGUUUAUUUGACUCCAUCACCAUCACCUAAUAAUCCUCCUUUACCAAAAUCACCACCAGUGCACAAGAAAUCUCCUCCACCAUCACCACCACAAUUUGCAAGGGUACCAUCACCAAAGAAACCGAAAUCUUCACCACCACCACCUGAUCAAAUUUAUCAUAUACCUCCAUUUCCCCUUACCUGAGGUUCUAAUGGAGAAUGGAAAGUCUGGCCCUAGGUAUCUAAAUUUGGUCAUAGCUAUUGGUGAUGGUGAUACUCGAUCCAUAUAUUGUGGUUUAAUUUAAUAAUGAGCAUGUGAGAAUGAUAAAAUAAAAUUAAAAUAUAAGAGUGAAAUGUAAUAUCGUUUUUCUUUUUCAAUUUCAAUUUCGUAUUAAUGAAAUUGAUCAUAAUAUCAAUUGUGAAUUGAAUUUGAUCAAAUUUAAGUAAGUUGGUUUUGGAUUA